UGCAGUGACACAAAAAAAAAAAAAUACAUAAAAAAACAUACUUAUAUAAAGAACAAAAAAUCAUAAACAUCCAUAUAUUCACACAUACAAUGUAAUAUAUAUUAGUGAGCAGACAAAUAUGUGAACAGAGUGGAGAGAAACAAAAACAAAGUGCAACAGCAAACAGUUCCAAAAAAACAAAAAUAAAACACACAAACCGGGCGCGAAACCACCAAAAUAAAAAUAUUAUAAAUACAACAUACGGGUGCGAAUUUAAAAACAUAAACUUAUAUACAAACAACAAUACCCACAUCAAGCCAGGCAGCUGGAAGACCGAGGAAGAAGAAAAGCGGAAUUGACAAGAAAAGGGGCAUACAAAAGGGGCAAAAGUGAAAUUGCAGCACAUGCCAAAACAAAACUGAUGUUUGUCGUGUUUAUUUGAUCGUUUGCGGCAAAACUCGAGUGAACAUCACUAACACAUAUGCAUUGUUUGGCGCAAUUAAUCGUCUCCAGGGCACUUAAAGCUGGCGAAUUUUUUAGAGGAAGACUAGCGCAGAAAGAAAAAUGAGCACUAGUUUAAGAAAAUACCGCUCGAACUUAAGAAAAGGUACUAAAGAUCGAUUUAAGAACGCAGCUGAGAUUAAGAGUUGAAGAAGCAUCGAAGAUCAAAAUCGGCUUAAUUAGAUACAUAGAAAUGAUAAGAAUCACCCGUGUCGAGAAAAAUAAAAAAAACGUUUAAGCGUUGCGUUAAAACUUAACUGUACGCAAACCAAGUGGAAAUCUGUUUUCUGACAACUUAAAGACGUGGACAAUUCGCAGGAAACUGCCUUCUUCCUACUGUGAAACAUUCCCCAUAUAUAGUAUAAUGAAAUGAUGAUGCAUUUCCAAGUACAAAUCGGACUCAAAAUUUAUAUUAGAGGGCUAAGGGAACGCUGAGAAAUAUAACAAUAUUAUAACGGAAGAGGUGGUACCCAACACCUUAAGGGGGGAGAUACCCCUAGAAUUUUCAAAACAUGCAAAAAACUUUUUCGCUCUAAUCAAUUGAAAAAUUAUUUAAAAAUUUGGUCCCGAAGUUUCAUUGGUUUACUCCCAAAUAGGCCCCAGAAUCACUGCAUUUCAUGCAGCGUCUGUAUAAUACCAAAACUUUGAGGCUCGUUUCCUCUAAACUAGUUUUUUUUAUCCGGCCGCCGAAUUAUUUAUUUUAUUUUAGAGUUGUUUAACUACAUAUUUUGAUGUCGAAAAACACAGGUAAAAAGGGUACAUUUUACAAUAUCCAGGCCUACAUCCCCAAUUUCUCGAAGUUGCCAAAACCAUCUACUAUGCACUUGAUAAAAGAUUUCUGAUUAAAAAAAAAAUAUUUUUUUCCUUUCAGAUAAGAAGAGUAGUCAGGAAGUUGACGGGUGCGUUGAUUUUUCCGCCAUUUUGUUUUUUGUUUUUCCAUAAAAGUGUUUUUAUACUCUCGCAACAAAGUUGCCAAAGAGAGUAUUAUAGUUUUGUUCACAUAA